rnacentral:rRNA from 1 species
AGCUUGCUCUGGUUGGGUCAGCGGCGGACGGGUGAGUAACACGUGGGCAACCUGCCCGCAAGACCGGGAUAACUCCGGGAAACCGGAGCUAAUACCGGAUAACACCGAAGACCGCAUGGUCUUUGGUUGAAAGGCGGCCUUUGGCUGUCACUUGCGGAUGGGCCCGCGGCGCAUUAGCUAGUUGGUGAGGUAACGGCUCACCAAGGCGACGAUGCGUAGCCGGCCUGAGAGGGUGACCGGCCACACUGGGACUGAGACACGGCCCAGACUCCUACGGGAGGCAGCAGUAGGGAAUCUUCCGCAAUGGGCGAAAGCCUGACGGAGCGACGCCGCGUGAGCGAAGAAGGCCUUCGGGUCGUAAAGCUCUGUUGUGAGGGACGAAGGAGCGCCGUUUGAACAAGGCGGCGCGGUGACGGUACCUCACGAGAAAGCCCCGGCUAACUACGUGCCAGCAGCCGCGGUAAUACGUAGGGGGCGAGCGUUGUCCGGAAUUAUUGGGCGUAAAGCGCGCGCAGGCGGCUCCUUAAGUCUGAUGUGAAAGCCCACGGCUCAACCGUGGAAGGGUCAUUGGAAACUGGGGAGCUUGAGUGCAGAAAAGGGGAGCGGAAUUCC